rnacentral:ncRNA from 1 species
GUUGUUGCAAUAGUAAUCCUGCUCAGUACGAGAGGAACCGCAGGUUCAGACAUUUGGUGUAUUUGCUUGGCUGAGGAGCCAAUAGUCCGAAGCUACCAUCUGUGGUAUUAUGACUGAAUGCUUCUAAGUCAGAAUCCUGCCCAGAUGUAACAAU